AGUCACUGACAUUAGAUACCCGCGUAGUCCAGGGUGUAAACGCUGCAGACUUGGUGUUGGAAGUCCUUUGGGGGCAUUCAGUGCCGGAGAGAAGUUGUUAAGUCUGCUACUUGGGAGUACGUCCGCAAGGAUAGAAACUUAAAGGAAUUGGCGGGGGAGCACCACAACGGGUGGAGCCUGCGGUUUAAUUGGACUCAACGCCGGAAAUCUCACCGGAUAGGACAGACAUAUGAUAGUCGGGCUGAAGACUCUACUUGAUGAUCUG
rnacentral:rRNA from 1 species